rnacentral:rRNA from 1 species
GUAGGUGGCAAGCGUUGUCCGGAAUUAUUGGGCGUAAAGCGCGCGCAGGCGGUCCUUUAAGUCUGAUGUGAAAGCCCACGGGCUCAACCGUGGAGGGUCAUUGGAAACUGGGGGACUUGAGCACAGAAGAGGAAAGCGGAAUUCCAAGUGUAGCGGCGAAAUGCGUAGAGAUUUGGAGGAACACCAGUGGCGAAGGCGGCUUUCUGGUCUGUAACUGACGCUGAGGCGCGAAAGCGUGGGGAGCAACCAGGAUUAGAUACCCUGGUAGUCUACGCCGUAAACGAUGAGUGCUAAGUGUUAGGGGGUUUCCGCCCCUUAGUGCUGCAGCUAACGCAUUAAGCACUCCGCCUGGGGAGUACGGCCGCAAAGGCUG